rnacentral:misc_RNA from 1 species
UGAGAUAAUUUUGGAUAUUUUGGUCAUUUUGCCCCCGAUGCAUCAUUAUGAUCCAUAUUUCAAAUUUCAAAUGCUCCAUAUGAUAAGGUUGUAGUUGAUAAUGAUGAAGUACUUAUUAAGCAGCAAAAGAUGUUGUGCAAGUGAAUCCUACAUAGCUUAACAAGAAAGGAUUUCUAUGUCAGAUGACCAAUAGGAUUUCUAUGUCAGAUGACCAAU